rnacentral:rRNA from 1 species
UACGUAGGGGGCAAGCGUUAUCCGGAUUUACUGGGUGUAAAGGGAGCGUAGGCGGGGAUGCAAGUUGGGUGUCAAAACUACCGGCUCAACUGGUAGUCGCACUCAAAACUGCAGCUCUUGAGUGAAGUAGAGGCAGGCGGAAUUCCUAGUGUAGCGGUGAAAUGCGUAGAUAUAAGGAAGAACACCAGUGGCGAAGGCGGAUGACUGGACGGCAACUGACGGUGAGGCGCGAAAGCGUGGGGAGCAAACAGG